UGCUCUCUGUAAUGUCCAUGGCGGUCCAUAGAACGAAUAGAAUGUACGACUCGUGCAGGUAGUAAAUCCGUGAUUCAUGAUUUAACAAUCUGUAAUAACUACGCAUGUAGGACAUUCGAUACGUGUAUUGUAAGCUCCAUGUUUUUUCAAUGGCACACUUACGUUGAACUCCUACAGGACAUGUUUACAAUUCAUCUGAUGGAGAACUCUGGAGUGGAUCUGCUGACAUUUCUUCAUCAAGAUAGGAUUAGUCAGUACAUCUUAAUGUUGUGCGCAGGUGAUUCUGAACUGGCUACUUUAUAUGGGGUAUCAGAAAGAUUUGUGCUACACAAGCGGUACUGACAAAUACAAUUACUGAUAUUAUGUGCAUUCUCCAAAUGUUGACCUGAAAAUGCCCAAAACUCCACUCAUGAUAUGUAUAUUUAUAAAUGUAAGUGUAACAAGUGUUUUAUUACAUGUCAAAAAUGUCCAGGCACUAGAGGAAUAUGUACAUAAAAUUCUUAAGCGUUAACAGUUCUUGCUCUCCUCACCAUACAUAAUUUAAUAUGCAAUGAAAUGUAUAUAUAAUAAGUUCUUGUCAGAACUUGUUGUAAAUUUAUAAUAAACUUCCAACUCAGUCA